ACAGCCGUCCUGGGGUUUGAUCCUUUAUGCCAGCAGACCUUUGCUCUAAGGCUGUGUCUCCACUGUACUUCAGGCCAAAUCCCACCUCUUUUAAAGAAGGAAGGAACCGAGGCUCAGAGCAGUAAUAUGAAUUCACAAAGGCUUCCCAGACCAGCAAGUGGCAGUGGAGAGGAGAGUGUAUUCUAUUCAGGGGCAGAGGAGAGGUGGGAAUCUCCCGGGACCCCUCCAGGGACUGUACGCUUCCCGAGGGUAGGAGCUGUGCCUCUUUUAUUCACCACGGGGCCCCUGGAGUCUGGCACAAGGAAUAGUCGAUCUUUGAGAGAAGAAUGAGUGAAUGAUUAACCGGGGAGCCCACGUCCCCCUGCGUCUCCGGGAGCAGGACUG